AGGAGCGAAAGCGUGGGGAGCGAACAGGAUUAGAUACCCUGGUAGUCCACGCGGUAAACGGUGGGCACUAGUUGUGGGGACCUUCCACGGUCUCUGCGACGCAGCUAACGCAUUAAGUGCCCCGCCUGGGGAGUACGAUCGCAAGAUUAAAACUCAAAGGAAUUGACGGGGCCCCGCACAAGCAGCGGAGCAUGCGGCUUAAUUCGACGCAACGCGAAGAACCUUACCAAGGCUUGACAUAUACAGGAAUAUGGCAGAGAUGUCAUAGCCGCAAGGUCUGUAUACAGGUGGUGCAUGGUUGUCGUCAGCUCGUGUCGUGAGAUGUUGGGUUAAGUCCCGCAACGAGCGCAACCCUCGUUCUGUGUUGCCAGCAUUUAGUUGGGGACUCACAGGAGACUGCCGGGGUUAACUCGGAGGAAGGUGGGGAUGACGUUAAAUCAUCAUGCCCCUUAUGUCUUGGGCUGCACGCAUGCUACAAUGGCUGGUACAAACAGCUGCAAUACCGCAAGGUGGAGCGAAUCCGAUAAAGCCAGUCUCAGUUCGGAUUGGGGUCUGCAACUCGACCCCAUGAAGUCGGAGUUGCUAGUAAUCGUAGAUCAGCAACGCUACGGUGAAUACGUUCCCGGGGCUUGUACACACCGCCCGUCACGUCACGAAAGUCGGUAACAACCCGAAGUCAAGUGCCCAACC
rnacentral:rRNA from 1 species